rnacentral:rRNA from 1 species
GAUGAACGCUGGCGGCGUGCCUAAUACAUGCAAGUCGAGCGAACAGAUGAGGAGCUUGCUCCUCUGACGUUAGCGGCGGACGGGUGAGUAACACGUGGAUAACCUACCUAUAAGACUGGGAUAACUUCGGGAAACCGGAGCUAAUACCGGAUAAUAUAUUGAACCGCAUGGUUCAAUAGUGAAAGACGGUUUUGCUGUCACUUAUAGAUGGAUCCGCGCCGCAUUAGCUAGUUGGUAAGGUAACGGCUUACCAAGGCGACGAUGCGUAGCCGACCUGAGAGGGGGAUCGCCCACUCUGAAACUGACACACGGUCCAGACUCCGAGGGGAGGCAACAGUGGGGAAUCUUCCGAAAGGGGGGAAAGCCUGACGGAGAAACGCCGGCUGGGUGAAGAAGGGCUUCGGACCGUAAAACGCUUUUUUUGGGGAAAAAAAAAUGUGAAAGUAACUAAGCCCGUUUGACGGGAACCAAAAAAGAAGCCCGCGCCAAACACGUU